ACCCAUUUGCUACUGUGUAAGAAAUAUUGUUCUUAUCUUGGAUAGAUUAAUAAUCAGCUGGCUGGGCACCAAGCAGGAGCACUCACGAUUGGCAUUGGAGUUCCCAAGGCGCUCGUUAACUACUUCCACGCCCACCGAACCGGCUAACCGUUUGCCGUCUGAAUUAAUGAACGAAUUAAAGUUUGCGUGACGACAUGAAGUGACUUUGGGAACGCAGGGAGCGUAUUGGGGGAAUGUACAGAAGGACACGGCGAAGACGACGUCAUAGCCAUCGUCACCAGCAUCGCCACCAUGGAAAACUCGAAGGCGGGCGGCUGCCAUUCAGACGGGACAGCAAACACAACAUCGGGCCAAGAAGCAAAUGUCGUGCCAAACAAAUACCUCAAGUGAUCUGGCCGAGGAACUGGUUUUUGGCGGCAACCACAACGCGACAGCCAGCAAAAAAGGGAAAGAAAACUCAAGGAUUCAACUCGAAGCUGGGGGCACCUUAGAAAUGAUCAUAUUAAGGGCUUUAAUGGGAGCAUUUAAAGUAAAUUUGAUUAAAUAUGUCA